AUUGAACGCUGGCGGCAUGCCUUACACAUGCAAGUCGAACGGCAGCACGGGUGCUUGCACCUGGUGGCGAGUGGCGAACGGGUGAGUAAUACAUCGGAACAUACCUUAUCGUGGGGGAUAACGCAGCGAAAGCUGUGCUAAUACCGCAUACGCCCUGAGGGGGAAAGCGGGGGAUCGAAAGACCUCGCGCGAUUAGAGCGGCCGAUGCCUGAUUAGCUUGUUGGUGGGGUAAAAGCCCACCAAGGCGACGAUCAGUAGCUGGUCUGAGAGGACGAUCGGCCACACGGGGACUGGGACACGGCCCAGACUCCUACGGGGGGCAGCAGUGGGGAAUUUUGGACAAUGGGGGCAACCCUGAUCCAGCAAUGCCGCGUGAGUGAAGAAGGCCUUCGGGUUGUAAAGCUCUUUUGUCAGGGAAGAAACACCGGCUCUAACACAGUCCGGGAAUGACGGUACCUGAAGAAUAAGCACCGGCUAACUACGUGCCAGCAGCCGCCGUAA
rnacentral:rRNA from 1 species